GAUGAACGCUGGCGGCGUGCCUAAUACAUGCAAGUCGAGCGAACAGACGAGGAGCUUGCUCCUCUGACGUUAGCGGCGGACGGGUGAGUAACACGUGGAUAACCUACCUAUAAGACUGGGAUAACUUCGGGAAACCGGAGCUAAUACCGGAUAAUAUAUUGAACCGCAUGGUUCAAUAGUGAAAGACGGUUUUGCUGUCACUUAUAGAUGGAUCCGCGCCGCAUUAGCUAGUUGGUAAGGUAACGGCUUACCAAGGCAACGAUGCGUAGCCGACCUGAGAGGGUGAGCGGCCACACUGGAACUGAGACACGGUCCAGACUCCGACGGGAGGCAGCAGUAGGGAAUCUUCCGCAAUGGGCGAAAGCUUGACGGAGCAACGCCGCGUGAGUGAUGAAGGUCUUCGGAUCGUAAAACUCUGUUAUUAGGGAAGAACAAAUGUGUAAGUAACUAUGCACGUCUUGACGGUACCUAAUCAGAAAGCCACGGCUAACUACGUG
rnacentral:rRNA from 1 species